UGGGAUGAAGCUCAAUGGUAGAUCACUUGCCUAACAUGCAUGGGGCCCUGGGUUUGAUCCCCAGCACCCCCC
rnacentral:tRNA from 1 species